ACAGAGCAGACUGAAAGAGCGGGAAACUGAAGAAGAAGAAAAAGAAGAAGUAGAGCGCUCCAGUCCUGUCACAGCUCACCAGUGUUACGACAUCUGCGGC